rnacentral:rRNA from 1 species
UGAGGAAUAUUGGUCAAUGGACGCAAUUUUGAACCAGCCAAGUAGCGUGCAGGAUGACGGCCCUCCGGGUUGUAAACUGCUUUUAGUUGGGAAUAAAAAAAGGGACGUGUCCCUUAUUGUAUGUACCUUCAGAAAAAGGACCGGCUAAUUCCGUGCCAGCAGCCGCGGUAAUACGGAAGGUCCAGGCGUUAUCCGGAUUUAUUGGGUUUAAAGGGAGCGUAGGCGGAUUGUUAAGUCAGCGGUUAAAGGGUGUGGCUCAACCAUACAUUGCCGUUGAAACUGGCGAUCUUGAGUGCAGACAGGGAUGCCGGAAUUCGUGGUGUAGCGGUGAAAUGCUUAGAUAUCACGAAGAACUCCGAUCGCGAAGGCAGGUGUCCGGGCUGCAACUGACGCUGAGGCUCGAAAGUGUGGGUAUCAAACAGGAUUAGAUACCCUGGUAGUCCACACAGUAAACGAUGUAUACUCGCGGUUUGCGAUAGAUUGUAAGCCGCCAAGCGAAAGCAUUAAGUAUACCACCUGGGGAGUACGCCGGCAACGG